rnacentral:rRNA from 1 species
UACGUAGGGGGCAAGCGUUGUCCGGAAUCAUUGGGCGUAAAGCGCGUGUAGGUGGAUUGGUGUGUCAGAUGUGAAAUCCCUGGGCUCAACCCAGGAACUGCACCUGAAACUACCAGUCUUGAGUGGUGGAGAGGGAAGUGGAAUUCCUGGUGUAGAGGUGAAAUUCGUAGAUAUCAGGAGGAACACCAGUGGCGAAGGCGGCUUCCUGGACACCAACUGACGCUGAGACGCGAAAGCGUGGGGAGCAAACAGG